rnacentral:rRNA from 1 species
ACUCAAAUGAAUAGACGGGGGCCCGCACAAGCGGUGGAGCAUGUGGAUUAAUUCGACGCAACGCGAAGAACCUUACCAAGGCUUGACAUGGAAAUGAAGUACACAGAGAUGUGUAUGCCCUUCGGGGCAUUUCACACAGGUGGUGCAUGGUUGUCGUCAGCUCGUGUCGUGAGAUGUUGGGUUAAGUCCCGCAACGAGCGCAACCCUUAUGUUUAGUAGCCAGCGCGUAAAGGUGGGCACACUAGAGAGACUGCCGUGGAGAACACGGAGGAAGGUGGGGACGACGUCAAAUCAUCAUGCCCCUUAUGUCUUGGGCUUCACACGUGCUACAAUGGAUACUACAAAGUGACGCUAGACCGCGAGGUGGAGCAAACCACGAAAAGUAUCCUCAGUUCGGAUUGUAGGCUGCAACUCGCCUGCAUGAAGUUGGAAUCGCUAGUAAUCGCGAAUCAGCAUGUCGCGGUGAAUACGUUCCCGGGCCUUGCACACACCGCCCGU